rfam:Pyrenochaeta sp. DS3sAY3a unplaced genomic scaffold IQ07scaffold_12, whole genome shotgun sequence.
UCCUCCGUGGCGCAAUUGGCUAGCGCGUCUGACUGUUACGACGUAGCACAUCAGGAGGUUGAAAGUUCGAGCCUUUCCGGGGGAG